UGGGGAAUAUUGCACAAUGGGCGAAAGCCUGAUGCAGCAACGCCGCGUGAGUGAUGAAGGUCUUCGGAUUGUAAAGCUCUGUCUUUUGGGACGAUAAUGACGGUACCAAAGGAGGAAGCCACGGCUAACUACGUGCCAGCAGCCGCGGUAAUACGUAGGUGGCGAGCGUUGUCCGGAUUUACUGGGCGUAAAGGGUGCGUAGGCGGAUGUUUAAGUGAGAUGUGAAAUACCCGGGCUUAACUUGGGUGCUGCAUUUCAAACUGGAUAUCUAGAGUGCAGGAGAGGAGAAUGGAAUUCCUAGUNUAGCGGUGAAAUGCGUAGAGAUUAGGAAGAACACCAGUGGCGAAGGCGAUUCUCUGGACUGUAACUGACGCUGAGGCACGAAAAGCGUGGGUAGCAAACAGGAUUAGAUACCCUGGUAGUCCACGCCGUAAAACGAUGAGUACUAGGUGUAGGAGGUAUCGACCCCUUCUGUGCCGCAGUAAAACACAUUAAGUACUCCGCCUGGG
rnacentral:rRNA from 1 species